UGCAGUCGUAACAAGGUAACCACUUCGGUGGGGAUGGGAGCGGCGGACGGGUUAGUAACGCGUGGGAACAUACCCUUUUCUGCGGAAUAGCCUUUGGAAAUGAAGAGUAAUACCGCAUACGGCCUUCGGGCGAAAGAUUUAUCGGUGAAGGAUAGGCCCGCGUAAGAUUAGAUAGUUGGUGGGGUAAUGGCCUACCAAGUCUACGAUCUUUAGCUGGUUUGAGAGGAUGAUCAGCAACACUGGGACUGAGACACGGCCCAGACUCCUACGGGAGGCAGCAGUGGGGAAUCUUAGACAAUGGGCGCAAGCCUGAUCUAGCGAUGCCGCGUGAGUGAAGAAGGCCUUAGGGUCGUAAAGCUCUUUCGCCUGUGAUGAUAAUGACAGUAGCAGGUAAAGAAACCCCGGCUAACUCCGUGCCAGCAGCCCCGGUAAUACGGAGGGGGUUAGCGUUGUUCGGAAUUACUGGGCGUAAAGCGUACGUAGGCGGAUUAGUAAGUUAGGGGUGAAAUCCCAGGGCUCAACCCUGGAACUGCCUCUAAAACUGCUAGUCUUGAGUUCGAGAGAGGUGAGUGGAAUUCCGAGUGUAGAGGUGAAAUUCGUAGAUAUUCGGAGGAACACCAGUGGCGAAGGCGGCUAACUGGCUCGAUACUGACGCUGAGGUACGAAAGUGUGGGGAGCAAACAGGAUUAGAUACCCUGGUAGUCCACACCGUAAACGAUGAAUGCCAGACGUCGGGUAGCAUGCUAUUCGGUGUCACACCUAACGGAUUAAGCAUUCCGCCUGGGGAGUACGGUCGCAAGA
rnacentral:rRNA from 1 species